GGCCAUACCAUGCUGAAUAUACCGGUUCUCGUUAGAUCACCGAAGUCAAGCAUCAUUGGGCGCGGUCAGUACUUGGGUGGGUGACCACCUGGGAACACUGCGUGUCGUU
rnacentral:rRNA from 1 species